CUACUAUGGUGCCAGCACUAGGGGCUUCUCUCUAGGUGGGGCUGGGUGUCCCCGUCUUCUCAAAGUCACUGGCCUGGGUAGCACUGGCCUGGCCUUUCUAAAGAACCAUCUGGGGAAAGACCAUGCUUCUUGCCUUCAGGAGGCUGAUGCGCUUCUGAAAGUCAAGUCACCAUUAGUCGGCACCCACAGCCUGCCAGACCCUGGAGCUCACCAAAACCACGUGCCACCCUGGGAAAUAUCCUGUGCCCCGGCUCUGACCUCCACUUCCUCCCAGGCUUUUACGGUUCAGCUUUUCACAGUUCCUUUCACCUGGCAUCCACUUGGCCGAGCUCUGCCUGCCUGCCUUUGACUCCAGCCGCCAUCGGCCGGCACAGCUGCCCUUCCUGUAGCUAAUAACUGAGGUGUUCCUCGGCCUCUGCCCCUCUUCUCUGGAAUGAGUGACUCGUUACUCUGCUGUUACCCUGACCCAAGCUGUCUUGGGGGACAUUCACAGUCAUGGAGCAUCUCCCAUACAUUGUUCUUGGCAGCGGGUAGACAGGAAUGCCCACUCUUUUCAACAGAGCCGUCAUUACUGAGAACCAGUUGUGUUCCGGAAACUCCAUGUCCUUAUCAUUAAAUCCUCCUAAUGUGCCUGUGA